CCUACGGGGGGCAGCAGUGGGGAAUAUUGCACAAUGGGGGAAAGCCUGAUGCAGCGACGCCGCGUGAAGGUAGAAGUAUUUCGGUAUGUAAACUUCCAUUAGCAGGGAAGAAAAUGACGGUACCUGACUAAGAAGCGCCGGCUAACUACGUGCCAGCAGCCGAGGUACUACGGAGGUGGCAAGCGUUAUCCGGAUUUACUGGGUGUAAGGGGAGCGUAGGCGGUGCAGCAGGUAAGAAGUGAAAGCCCGGGGCUCAACUCCGGGACUGCCUUUGAACCUGUUGAACUAGAUGGCAGGAGAGGUAAGUGGAAUUCCUGGUGUAGCGGUGAAAUGCGUAGAUAUUACGAGGAACACCAGUUGCGAAGGCAGCUUACUGGACUGUAAAUGACGCUGAGGCACGAAAGCGUGGGGAGCAAACAGGAUUAGAUACCCCAGUAGUC
rnacentral:rRNA from 1 species